AAGUCUGUAGUUCAUUCAGUAUCACCCCCUGGGGAUUGGGGUCGGGAUACUCAAUUGCAGAUUUCCUAUAGGGGCUCUCGGUUUAUGGAGCCACCUUUACUGUACAGCAAAAAGGUUGUUUAUCUAAAGUGCUUGAGAUUCAGUCACUCAUGAAAUCCUCUCACCUGUCCCAACAUCAGCAUAUACAGCACAGCAAAAUCUCUAGUAGUGCCUGCAGUGGCCCUAUUAACUGGGUGACUGCUGGGCAGGUGGGUAAGACUGGUAGCCUAUUGAUACAAGAAGUUGCAUGUCCUGUUAUGUCGAAACUGCAAGUCAUCAGUUGGCACCCAGGGAGCAGUAGCAAGAGCUGCAAAGGUUGAAGUAGCAGUAACUCACUUAUGGGGUCACUUAUGCCUCUGGUUGAAGUAGCAGUAACUCACUGACUUUAAGGGGAGUUAUGUCCAUAUUGGAGCAAAUUCAGAUCAUUCCUAAGUUGUUACCUACAGAUUACUUUUGCUGCCCAUGUGAAGCAAGCAGAUGGCACUCCAGUGACAGAAUGACAGUGUCCAAUCUCCCUUCUCAGUCUCAUGCAGAAGGACCCCCAGGGUAGGAUUGACGUGCAGUGGCAGAAUGGGGCAUCGGUGGUGCUCUAUAACUCUUCCUGUAAAUUGGGGAGAGGGGGACUUUCAUUGGUCCACCGCUUCCCUUCCCCAGGAUUCAGAGAGUCUGCGUCAGGAAUAAAGCCAAGCAUGAAGAGAACAAGCAAUACAAAUAAAACCCAUGAACAGAAAGGAGUUAUGAGUCACAUUUAUUCUGUUUCAAACAUAAUAAAUGAAUACAAAUGGGGGGGGGGAGAAUCAUGUUUGAGCAACUAUUUUUUUUUUUUUUUUUUUAAUAAAAAAGCUGCCAGUACAUGAACUGCUGUAACUUGAUGGAGUUACCACUGAGGACAAAUGGAAGCCUGUUGCUCCCUACAGAAUUCACAGCUUGUUGAAAUUGCCUCCUACCAGGAUCUGAUGAAGUAAAUUAAGAGACAUUAAUAUUUUAUUUUCUAAAGAGGAGGGAGAUGGCGAAUUGCAAGCAGAACGCAGACAUGCUAGAGUUCAGGGUGUGAAGUGUGGAGGGAGCAUGGGGCAGCCUAAGAUCAGGGUUUCCCAAGCUCAAACAGGAUUAAGAUUUGGUCCAAGUUAAGUUACAGCUUGUUGGUUUAGUGAAAGAUGUCAAAGCUAGCAAAAGUCUGAUGCCAAAGCACUGGAAAGCAAACAUGCCCUGAAAGCAUCCUGCCCACAGCAACUGCCGCACCCUACUGGAAGACCCUGCCUUGUCCAGUUCUGGAAGUGAACUGCAGAGCCAACACCUAACCAGACUGCCAGGACAUGUAUGAUUGCCAAAGCAGCCUGCUAGGAUGCAAGCACAGCUCCAGGCCUGCAGGCUAUGGAGUGCAUGCUGCUCACAGGUUGGUGCUAACUUCCCCCUCCCCCCAAAGGCCACCUGUCCCCUACUGCAUUGCUGUUGCCUGGGUGAGACCAAAAACUCCCUAGGGACCCCUUCCUUGAGCUUCACUCAGUGCUGGGAUUCGGGCAGAGGCAGACUCUGAACUGGUAUGGACCUUUGGUCAGCUGUGUAACCGCUAGUAGGGAAGUGCCAGCAGGGGGUUAAAAAAAAGUGAGUCAGCAUUUCAAAAGUCACAGGUACUCCUGCCUUUUUCCUCUUUCAAAAGGAUUAAAGAUCUGAACGUUUCUGUGGAUUGCAGGCUCUCCCUGGAGGUAAAAGCUUCACGUGCAUGUUAAUUCCCCACCUCCGCUGCCCCGUUCAGCUCCCUGCAGCCUCCACAGGACACCGCUGUGGUUAGUUUUAUGAUCACAAAGCAGAGCAGCAACUUCUGUGGUGUUGCUAUUGUUAGUGAUUGCAGAAGAGUGAAUAGUCUGGAACUCCCUCCCCUUGAAGCCAAGCAUGAACAUCCUUCUGUUUCAGCCAACAUUGUUUGCAAACCCGCACCUCUCCUGGCUUGGUUGUUUACCUCCAUGGCAAUGUCUACUGAAAGUCGGAUGCUUGGCCCCUGACUUCAGAGAGAAGCAGCACAAGGCUGGGGUGUGCGAGGGGAAGUGAAGAGCUGCCUGCUCUGGGGCUGGACCCCAGCCUGCUGAAGUAAAAACUGAACAAGCCAGAGACCGGAAAAGAACCUGUGGGAUUAACAGCUGAAGAGCCAGUGGCUACAGAACCCCACUUCCUUCUCCCUUUUGUGCUGUGGUUUAUUGCAAAGCAUCCUGUGUUAGGACAACUGUGUAGCCCGGGGGUGGGGGAAACAGGAUGGGGGCUUGAAGGCUUUAUAGCCAGGAGUUAUACUGCAUCAUGAUUCAACACCUAAGCU